rnacentral:tRNA from 1 species
GCUGGGUUGUGGCUCAGUGGUAGAGUGCUUGGCUAGCAUGUUGUGAGGCACUGAGUUUGACUCUCAGCAUCAGCA